rnacentral:tRNA from 1 species
AGUGGUUAAGCGCUCAGUUGCUAACUGAAAGGUUGGUGGUUCGAACCCACCAGCUGCUA